rnacentral:rRNA from 1 species
GAUCUGAAAUCAGGUAGGAUUACCCGCUGAACUUAAGCAUAUCAAUAAGCGGAGGAAAAGAAACUAACAAGGAUUCCCUCAGUAACGGCGAGUGAAGCGGGAAGAGCUCAAAUUUAAAAUCUGGUUUACUUGUAAGCCCGAGUUGUAGUCUGAAGAAACGUUUUCCAUAAGCACUGAGGCAAAAGUCCCUUGGAACAGGGCAUCAUAGAGGGUGAGAAUCCCGUCCAUGGUCUCAAGUUGUUUAUUUUGUGAUACGUUUUCAAAGAGUCAGGUUGUUUGGGAAUGCAGCCUAAAAUGGGUGGUAAAUUUCAUCUAAAGCUAAAUAUUGGCGAGAGACCGAUAGCGAACAAGUACCGUGAGGGAAAGAUGAAAAGAACUUUGAAAAGAGAGUUAAACAGUACGUGAAAUUGUUGAAAGGGAACCGU